rnacentral:rRNA from 1 species
UGGGGAAUCUUGGACAAUGGGCGCAAGCCUGAUCCAGCCAUGCCGCGUGAGUGAUGAAGGCCUUAGGGUUGUAAAGCUCUUUUUGCCGGGGACGAUAAUGACGGUACCCGGAGAAUAAGUCCCGGCUAACUUCGUGCCAGCAGCCGCGGUAAUACGAAGGGGACUAGCGUUGUUCGGAAUCACUGGGCGUAAAGCGCACGUAGGCGGAUUUGUAAGUCAGGGGUGAAAUCCCGGGGCUCAACCUCGGAACUGCCUUUGAUACUGCGGAUCUCGAGUCCGAUAGAGGUGAGUGGAAUUCCUAGUGUAGAGGUGAAAUUCGUAGAUAUUAGGAAGAACACCGGUGGCGAAGGCGGCUCACUGGAUCGGUACUGACGCUGAGGUGCGAAAGCGUGGGGAGCAAACAGGAUUAGAUACCCAUGUAGUCCCUGAGCGGGCUGGCAAGGCGCAU